UUGUGAUGACUUGAGUUGAUUAUAUUGAGAGCAUGUGUUUGCUGAAUGAAUAUAUAGUGCAAUUAAUGAUUUAUUUGGCCACUUUUGUGUAAGGUUUUGCAGAAAGAGUUUUGAAUAUUGAAACGUGUGGAAACAGUGUUGCUGACGAGACUCUGAUCAUGUGAAGAAUUUGGAAAUCAAAUGCCCAAUUGUGGUGCCACCAGACAGCAGAAAACAAGUUGGUACCUCCAGCAGGCAGAGAGGCAAGAACCAUUCUUCCACCAGUUCAGGGACAAGCUACACUAUUCAUAAUACUGUGUAAUGCUCAAUGUAAUUGCAGUGCUGGUCUUUUUUAAACUUAAUGUAUUUGUAUUGUUUAAAAAAUGUACAAAUAAAAGGAAAAGUAUGGUUGAAACAUGCCUUUAAUGAUUAUUUAACCCACUGUUCCUAGGCUGUCAUUGAAAAUAAGAAUUUGUUCUUAACUGACUUGCCUUGUAAAAUAAAGG